GUUUGACUUCACCCUCAAAGGCACACUCUUGCAUUGUCUCCCGAGACAGACAGAUGCCAACAACUCAGAAAUACUUAAUGUAUGAGAAGUAGUCCAGUAUCUAAUAUAAUAAUUCCAAUAAUUUAUUAUGAUUAUUAUUUCUGGAUUUUUUUCUGGCAUGAACAAAGGUUGUUAGUGUAAUGGAGUUUGUAGUAUUCCAUAAUUGAUCAGUUCACUAUUUCAUUGAUCGAAUGUGUUUAUGUGUUUAUACUUCCAUUUUGAGGCCUUCUUCAGCUCUAGCUGCUAACAGAUUUUCAACAAGUUGGAUAGAUUACGUUGGUGAACCUGAAUUCUUCAUGUGUUAACUUUAAGAGCCAUAGACCAUUAUGUUAAAACAUCACACGGGUACCUUGAGAAUGCACAAGCUUGCCAGUAAACCCAUCACCAGGCAGCUUUCCCAUGAAGAUACCAUGUGGGUUGAACCAGGACUUCCAUAUGGGAGCUCUAUAAAUGGCCCCUUUGAUUUCCACAACAGCGGCAGUCCUUUUCCAAAGUGCUGUGGCUAUUUCAAGGACCAUGAAUGCAGCCUCCAUGCAGAAACACUGGUUCACACAAAUGGCACCUGAGCGCUGUCUGGCAGCAAACUUUGCAGUGCCCUCAUGCAUGCAUAGGGGCUACAGCCAAGUACAAACAGCCCAUAGACAAAGCUCCAUGUCUGCUCUGCACUGUAACUUCCUUCAUAGGGCUGAUCUCCAGGCAUACUCCUAGGAAUACUGAUCAAGAAUUUUAAAAAGGUAUUAGCAUAAGUACCCCAUAACAUUGCUAAUCACAGCCUUUCAGUUAGUUGUAAAUUCUCUUAAUGGGCUGCUUCAGUAGUAAUGUACUGUCCGAGAAGGUUUUCAAGAGCAGGUAAAAUAUCACCUUACCACAUUUGCUGGAAUAAACUGAUAGGACACACCAAAUGUUUAUUUCUGGAUUUAAGGACUUCAAAGGAAGAAGUACUUGUGCCAGUUCUAAGACAAUAGCUUCUUCCAUGGUGGCCUAGCUUCCUCGUGUUUUAUAAGCCUAUUUACUUCGGUGUUCAUGAUGAAAUAAUAGUUACCAUAACCAUGAUUGUGCUGAUCUAGAAAAAAAAUCCACGUUAACUAAACUAUUAUUGUUUUCCACACAACGGCUUUGUAUUGAGCUUGAAGUUGUUGCAUAAAUUGCUGAAUAAUAAACAAACCCAGUUGUAUU